rnacentral:piRNA from 1 species
UGCAGAUUAAAGAAAUUGCUGAGUCGG